GACGAAUCCAGGUGGUGCGCGCCAAAAGGGGCGGUCUCUGCUCGUUUCCCUCGCGAAAUUAGUGGAUUUCCCUCCAAAAUGUUAAAUGCCUAUAUUAAUGGCUGGCGGAUCUUCACUCUGGUCGGAGCGGCUCUUCCCUGAGGACACGAACACGGUGAAACUUGCCUUCAGCUUCAGGUGGAACAGCUCUGACCUGUAUGGUGAUCAGACCUGGAGAGGAGAGACACCUGGUCCAACAAGGUGACGGACGGUUGAAAGGAUGAAUCACCAAGACGAGCCAAACAAUGGAGACGAGCCGCCACAGGAGCCUGAGGGGAAAGUGUCUUCCUGUGGACCUGCAGUACCUCCCAGAGGACAAGAAGAGAGAAGAGGACCCUGACAUCAGAAAGAUGCUGCUGGAAACACUUUUCCUGGUGCUGAUAGGAGACGAGCCGGAGCAGGGGAUGGAGAACCUGAUGGAGGUGGAGAUUCCUGAAGCAACAUGCAGCAGCAUAUUAACCGCCACCACAGUGAGAAACAAAGUAACGUUACGCCACCUCCCGAGCGAAAAACCACCCUGAUGAGAGGCUUUGCAUCUCCUCUCCCCCUUAACAACGCAAGAGCGCAAGAAAUUACCGUCGUUGAAAAUGAGGGCUUGCGGCUGUUGUUGAUGUUGUCGCUGGAGCCAAGAUAGAGCCAGAUUUAUGUAUAUAUAUAUAUAUAUAAUAUUAUAUUUAGAAUGUUGACAUGUUGAUUUUCCUCAAGAGAAACGUGAAAGUUUCAAGCUACACAAGCCAGUCUUACUUUAUUUGAAGAGAUUUUAUGUUUUGAUAUUAUUUUGAUGUGGGAUUUGUUUUUAAAAAUACAGUUUUUCUUUGUUAUUUAAGUUAAUAACUACCUCAGUUGCACUUUUUUAUAAGACACAAAAAUAGUGUGUAAUAAUUCUGUAAAGAAAGGACCUCUUUUUUUGGUCAAGAUUUUAUAUUCUUUUGUUUUUGGAGAUGCUGAAUUACACCAGUUUACUUGUGAGAUUGUUUACUUGUGAGAAGAAAGGAUAUAUUUUUCAUAUUUUGUUGUUUAAGGUGACCGUUUAAGUUGCACUUUUUAUAAGAGGACACAAACUGUUUUACAGAGUUCCUGUAAAGAAAGCAGCUCUAAGAUUUUUUUUUCCUAAGAAUAAAAGAUCAUUUUAUUUGGUCAUAAUUUGUCUGUAGCUCAUUUUGAUUAAAAAUAAAAUAAAAUCGUGAGAAAAUCGUAUCGUGAACAAAAAAAUCGUGAACCGUAUCGAAUCGUGAGCUGAGUGUAUCGUUACAUCCCUAGUAACGUUUGUCAUUCAGAUGUGGCUUUCAGUUAAAUGUUGAUUACAGUGUCAUUCAGAGAUGAGAGAACAUCUACAGAAAUAACCACAAUGCUCCACAGUGAGCUGUCUCACUGCUGGAGGACAGGUCAUAAGUGACAAUGUAAAAGAUGCGUAAAAGUAAAAGUCAGAGCGUCUACUGUUUCUGUCAUUUCUCUACACCAGGUGUCACCAACACGGUCCCCCUGGGCACCAGGUAGCCCCCAAGGACCACAUGAGGAGCCCUCAGGACUGUUCUAAAAUUGAAAAUUGAAUAUUGAUAUUAUCUGUUUCCCACCUUGUUAAGUCAUUGUUGAUAAUUAUUAUGAGCAAUCAUUAACGUGAUCAAUGUCUUCACAUAGAUGAGUAUCAUUAAUAAUCAUAUACAACUAAAGGCAAACUGAGCAUAUUCAUUAUUUCAGAAGAGUGUAUGAAACUGGUAGCCUUCCCAUGAAGCAGCUCUCAGUUUCAAAAAGGUUGGUGACCUCUGCUCUAUGCUGACAUAGAGUUUAAAAUCAUUCAACAAUUGCGCCGCUGCUCUCCUCCCUGUGGAAGUUCAACUUCAACUUGAAAAUAAACUAAGAAGAGUUUUAGUCUCUCAAGCACCUCAUGAGAUCACUCAGCAGUAAGUCAAAGAGCUUUCAGUUCAAUUAUUUUAACAGAGUAAUGCAUAAUAAACAACUUUGUCAGAAUUGUGAUAUUGUUAUGUGCUCCAGUAACCUUGGAUGGAAAUUUUAACCUAUACAAAGACACAAGAUUAAACCAGGAAACACAACACAACCUCUUUUAAACUUCCAAAAUGUCAUCACUGUUGAUGCUCAAACUGGUCCUCACAGAGAACAGAGGUCACAACCCAAGACACAGCGAACCUUUUUAAUCAGAUUUUUCUGUCAGCAAUUAUGAUGCUGCUGCCUCAGGAAACCGGAGCAUAGAAAAUGGUAGUAGAGUCCUCAGGAGGGGCCCUGAGUCUCCUCAGCAAGCUUAAGUUUUUGGUAAUUUACACAACACUGUUCAAAACAGUCCUUUUAUUACCGAGUCUUUCUGUAGUUACAGCAGGGACACAUUGCAGAAGAAAUGCUAAGUUGUCAGAGACGGACUGUCAGUCGCUGUACGCGAACCAGCAAUCUCCGUGUUUCCAUGGCUGAGCGCAUGCGCGGUGACGACAUCAGAAGAUACAUGUACAUAAACCGCUCGGCUAUCGUGGAUGACGGCCUCCCGGGUGUGAAAAAAAGGGGUAUCACAUGGUGCGCUCUAGCGUCAACGUCUCUAAUGUACAUGAGGAAUUGGCAAAUUUACAAAACAGUGACACCACCAGG